rnacentral:rRNA from 1 species
GUGAGGAAUAUUGGUCAAUGGGCGGAAGCCUGAACCAGCCAUUCCGCGUGAAGGAAGAAGGCCUUACGGGUUGUAAACUUCUUUUCUGUAAGAAGAAUAACCGGGACGAGUUUCCGGGAUGACGGUAUUAUAGGAAUAAGCAUCGGCUAACUCCGUGCCAGCAGCCGCGGUAAUACGGAGGAUGCAAGCGUUAUCCGGAUUUAUUGGGUUUAAAGGGUGCGCAGGUUGUUUGACAAGUCAGUGGUGAAAGUCUGCCGCUUAACGGAAGGAUUGCCAUUGAUACUGUUGGACUUGAGUAUGGAUAAGGUAUGCGGAAUGUGUAGUGUAGCGGUGAAAUGCAUAGAUAUUACACAGAACACCGAUUGCGAAGGCAGCAUACUGGGCCAUUACUGACGCUGAGGCACGAAAGCGUGGGGAUCAAACAGGAUUAGAAACCCCAGUAGUCC